AGCGAACGCUGGCGGUAUGCCUAACACAUGCAAGUCGAACGGCAGCACAUUAUGUGCUUGCUCUUACGGGUGUCGAGUGGUGGACGGGUGAGGAAUACAUCGGAAUCUACUUUUUCGUGGGGUAUAACGUAGGGUAACUUACGCUAAUACCGCAUACGUCCUACGGGUGAAAGCAGGCGAUCUUCGGACCUUGCGCUAUUGUAUGAGCCGAUGUCGGCUUAGCUAGUUGGCGGGGGAAAGGCCCACCAAGGCGACGAUCCGUAGCUGGUCUGAGAGGAUGAAGAGCGACACUGGAACUGAGAAAGGGUACAGACUCCGACGGGGAGCAGCGGUGGGGAAUAUUGAAAAAGGGGCACAAGCCUAAUCCAGACAUACCGGGUGGGUGAAGAAGGCCUUCGGGUUGUAGAGCUAUUUUGUUGGGAAAGAAGAGCAGCAGGUUAAUACCGCACUGUUCUGACGGUACCGAAAGAAUAAGCACCGGCUAACUUCGUG
rnacentral:rRNA from 1 species